rnacentral:tRNA from 1 species
AGGGAAAUAGCUCAGUGGUAGAGUGCAUGCUUAGCAUGCAUGAGGUCCUGGGUUCAAUCCCCAGCACCUCCA